UUAAGCGACUAAGCGUACACGGUGGAUGCCCUGGCAGUCAGAGGCGAUGAAGGACGUGCUAAUCUGCGAUAAGCGUCGGUAAGGUGAUAUGAACCGUUAUAACCGGCGAUUUCCGAAUGGGGAAACCCAGUGUGUUUCGACACACUAUCAUUAACUGAAUCCAUAGGUUAAUGAGGCGAACCGGGGGAACUGAAACAUCUAAGUACCCCGAGGAAAAGAAAUCAACCGAGAUUCCCCCAGUAGCGGCGAGCGAACGGGGAGGAGCCCAGAGCCUGAAUCAGUGUGUGUGUUAGUGGAAGCGUCUGGAAAGGCGCGCGAUACAGGGUGACAGCCCCGUACACAAAAAUGCACAUGCUGUGAGCUCGAUGAGUAGGGCGGGACACGUGGUAUCCUGUCUGAAUAUGGGGGGACCAUCCUCCAAGGCUAAAUACUCCUGACUGACCGAUAGUGAACCAGUACCGUGAGGGAAAGGCGAAAAGAACCCCGGCGAGGGGAGUGAAAAAGAACCUGAAACCGUGUACGUACAAGCAGUGGGAGCACGCUUAGGCGUGUGACUGCGUACCUUUUGUAUAAUGGGUCAGCGACUUAUAUUCUGUAGCAAGGUUAACCGAAUAGGGGAGCCGAAGGGAAACCGAGUCUUAACUGGGCGUUAAGUUGCAGGGUAUAGACCCGAAACCCGGUGAUCUAGCCAUGGGCAGGUUGAAGGUUGGGUAACACUAACUGGAGGACCGAACCGACUAAUGUUGAAAAAUUAGCGGAUGACUUGUGGCUGGGGGUGAAAGGCCAAUCAAACCGGGAGAUAGCUGGUUCUCCCCGAAAGCUAUUUAGGUAGCGCCUCGUGAAUUCAUCUCCGGGGGUAGAGCACUGUUUCGGCAAGGGGGUCAUCCCGACUUACCAACCCGAUGCAAACUGCGAAUACCGGAGAAUGUUAUCACGGGAGACACACGGCGGGUGCUAACGUCCGUCGUGAAGAGGGAAACAACCCAGACCGCCAGCUAAGGUCCCAAAGUCAUGGUUAAGUGGGAAACGAUGUGGGAAGGCCCAGACAGCCAGGAUGUUGGCUUAGAAGCAGCCAUCAUUUAAAGAAAGCGUAAUAGCUCACUGGUCGAGUCGGCCUGCGCGGAAGAUGUAACGGGGCUAAACCAUGCACCGAAGCUGCGGCAGCGACGCUUAUGCGUUGUUGGGUAGGGGAGCGUUCUGUAAGCCUGUGAAGGUGUGCUGUGAGGCAUGCUGGAGGUAUCAGAAGUGCGAAUGCUGACAUAAGUAACGAUAAAGCGGGUGAAAAGCCCGCUCGCCGGAAGACCAAGGGUUCCUGUCCAACGUUAAUCGGGGCAGGGUGAGUCGACCCCUAAGGCGAGGCCGAAAGGCGUAGUCGAUGGGAAACAGGUUAAUAUUCCUGUACUUGGUGUUACUGCGAAGGGGGGACGGAGAAGGCUAUGUUGGCCGGGCGACGGUUGUCCCGGUUUAAGCGUGUAGGCUGGUUUUCCAGGCAAAUCCGGAAAAUCAAGGCUGAGGCGUGAUGACGAGGCACUACGGUGCUGAAGCAACAAAUGCCCUGCUUCCAGGAAAAGCCUCUAAGCAUCAGGUAACAUCAAAUCGUACCCCAAACCGACACAGGUGGUCAGGUAGAGAAUACCAAGGCGCUUGAGAGAACUCGGGUGAAGGAACUAGGCAAAAUGGUGCCGUAACUUCGGGAGAAGGCACGCUGAUAUGUAGGUGAAGCGACUUGCUCGUGGAGCUGAAAUCAGUCGAAGAUACCAGCUGGCUGCAACUGUUUAUUAAAAACACAGCACUGUGCAAACACGAAAGUGGACGUAUACGGUGUGACGCCUGCCCGGUGCCGGAAGGUUAAUUGAUGGGGUCAGCGCAAGCGAAGCUCUUGAUCGAAGCCCCGGUAAACGGCGGCCGUAACUAUAACGGUCCUAAGGUAGCGAAAUUCCUUGUCGGGUAAGUUCCGACCUGCACGAAUGGCGUAAUGAUGGCCAGGCUGUCUCCACCCGAGACUCAGUGAAAUUGAACUCGCUGUGAAGAUGCAGUGUACCCGCGGCAAGACGGAAAGACCCCGUGAACCUUUACUAUAGCUUGACACUGAACAUUGAGCCUUGAUGUGUAGGAUAGGUGGGAGGCUUUGAAGUGUGGACGCCAGUCUGCAUGGAGCCGACCUUGAAAUACCACCCUUUAAUGUUUGAUGUUCUAACGUUGACCCGUGAUCCGGGUUGCGGACAGUGUCUGGUGGGUAGUUUGACUGGGGCGGUCUCCUCCUAAAGAGUAACGGAGGAGCACGAAGGUUGGCUAAUCCUGGUCGGACAUCAGGAGGUUAGUGCAAUGGCAUAAGCCAGCUUGACUGCGAGCGUGACGGCGCGAGCAGGUGCGAAAGCAGGUCAUAGUGAUCCGGUGGUUCUGAAUGGAAGGGCCAUCGCUCAACGGAUAAAAGGUACUCCGGGGAUAACAGGCUGAUACCGCCCAAGAGUUCAUAUCGACGGCGGUGUUUGGCACCUCGAUGUCGGCUCAUCACAUCCUGGGGCUGAAGUAGGUCCCAAGGGUAUGGCUGUUCGCCAUUUAAAGUGGUACGCGAGCUGGGUUUAGAACGUCGUGAGACAGUUCGGUCCCUAUCUGCCGUGGGCGCUGGAGAACUGAGGGGGGCUGCUCCUAGUACGAGAGGACCGGAGUGGACGCAUCACUGGUGUUCGGGUUGUCAUGCCAAUGGCACUGCCCGGUAGCUAAAUGCGGAAGAGAUAAGUGCUGAAAGCAUCUAAGCACGAAACUUGCCCCGAGAUGAGUUCUCCCUGACCCUUUAAGGGUCCUGAAGGAACGUUGAAGACGACGACGUUGAUAGGCCGGGUGUGUAAGCGCAGCGAUGCGUUGAGCUAACCGGUACUAAUGAACCGUGAGGCUUAACCUU
rnacentral:rRNA from 1 species